rnacentral:rRNA from 1 species
UACGUAGGGGCCUAGCGUUGUCCGGAAUUACUGGGCGUAAAGCGCGUGUAGGCGGUUGUUCAAGUCGGGUGUGAAAGCCUUGAGCUCAACUCAAGAAAUGCACUCGGUACUGGAUGACUAGAGGACCGGAGAGGAUAGUGGAAUUCCCAGUGUAGUGGUGAAAUACGUAGAGAUUGGGAAGAACACCAGUGGCGAAGGCGGCUAUCUGGACGGUUUCUGACGCUAAGACGCGAAAGCUAGGGGAGCAAACAGG